GAGAGAGAGAGAGAGAGAGAGUGAAAGCAUGAGCAGGGGAGAGAGCGGAGGGGGAGGGAGAGGCUCCGUGCUUGGCUUGGAACCUGACAAAGGGCUAAGCCCAAAGGUACUGAUUAAAAUAGGGUUGUUUUGUUUUGUUUUGUUUUGUUUUCUAUAAGCCAUGUUUUUUCAAUUUAAUUUUGAGAGAAACAAGUUUGGGGAGAACAAAGGUUACCCAUAAUGCCCAUUGAAGUUCUAAAUUACCUUUUUAGUUUUUGACAAUGCCCUUGUGCGGUUGGGGGGAAGGAACAGAGGGAGUGAAUCUUAAGCAGGCACCAUGCCCAGCAUGGAGCCCCACUUGGGGCUCGAUCUCAUGACCCUGACUGAGAUCAUGCCUGAGCCAAAGUUGAGUCGGAUACCUGACCGACUGAGCCACCCAGGCGCCCCUAAGUUGCUUUAGAUUGAGUCCAUCCACUUUGUUAGAAAUGCAUAUGAGGAGGGACCCCAGUAGGGCCGGGCACCCUCAAGGCACUUUGGUGACUGAGAUCCCGUUUCUGAGUUGUUUUUUUUCUUUAGAGCAGAAAGAAAAAAAAAAAUAAAUAAAUAACAGGUUCAACAGGAAAAGCCUAUUUCCAGGAGGAAUCGGUAUAAAGGCCUGCACAGUUCCAAUAGGACAGCCCAGUUUCAAAAGAAUUAGACUUGAGGCCACUGUUUCAAGAGGGACCGUCUAGUUCUGAAAGUGAGUCAGCCCAAAGGCUAACACAGUCUUAAUGGGAACAGUCCCAAUUCCAAACACGAGUGGAACCGAAGGCCCAAGGGACACCUGCAGAAAGGACAAAGCCUUUAAACCCAUCCUGAAGAAAGGCUGGAGACCUCAGGAAGCUGGGGCUCGAAAUCAAGGAGAAAGCAUAGCUUCAAACUCCAGGAGCAGCUAGAAAGCCGUGGGCUCGGUUGUUUCCGUGGGUAUUGGCAUAUUUGCUCACCAGCCUCAGCAUUGUCGAGGCGGUCUCAGGAUCUGACUUCUGACACCAGAUAAUAUUAACCUCGACUAUAAAACGGCCAGCUAUCUUACCAGCAAGAAAGGAUUUAUCUGAGACUAGAGAAUUCGGGAGAAGCACGCUCCGGCACAGCCAUGGUACGCAUUGCGAAUAGAGACCUAGCUGGGAACGACUCUCCUUGACCGUGUCCGAGUAAGUAAUGCGAACUGUAUUUUCUAGGAUCUGUGGCCUUUAUGGUUUCAUGUUAGAACUUACCAAAGCCUAACAUCCACGAAACUUGGAAUGCAGAAGCGAAAUAGGAUUCAGUCAGGUUUUGGAGUCAUCUGUGUAGAAGGAGACAGAAGGAUAGGGCUUUCCGGACGCUUGUUUCCAGCCUGUUUUCCUCAUUCUUUGUGAUGCGCGUCAGUGUUCCCAACCCGCCACCAACGGCUAGACUUCCAUCUGACCCCCGAGCAGUAGGCUUCUCCAGUUGUCUCCACUGUCCGACUUUGAAGAGCCAGCACAGUCGAGAUUUCCUGCGAUCUGUCAUGUGCCCACCUGGAAACAAAUUUCUACCAUCACGGGUUGCGUGUUCUACUCCCCUCUUCCCUAGAUCCGGUUCAUACAAGGUCGAAUUUGUGUAGUCAACACCUGUUGUGUUAA